ensembl:lncRNA
AAAGCCUUUUGCACGGCUGGAGGUUUUGGUGAAGUAACAGCAUCCACAAGGUCUGUAAGACAGUUCGGCAAGAAGGCAACGGAGUGACAAUCAUCUCCACCAUGUUCAGCUCAUAGAAACACUCCAGUAACAGAUGCCACAAGUUGCCUUGACAUUUUCCCAUACAGAAAAUGAUAAAUUCCAGAAUGGAAACUGCGGCGUUUGGUGAAAUAAUGGAGCUUCUGUUUCUCCGCUGCUGUCAGAAAUGGAAAUUCAGCACAAUCUUUUCAUCAGCUUGAAAUGCCACAUCAGAUUAAAAGCCCUGAUGCCAAGUGGAGGGCAUCUGAUACAUUGCCUUGAGCUGUGCUUCUUAAUGCUUUUCAGUCCACCACUUUGUAAAAGCACCUCCACCUUCGUGUUACUCCCCUCAUUAGAGCAGUGCAAACGUGAACGAAUUAACAGAGGUUAAGAUCUUCUGGAAAUAGCUUUGCUUGAGCAAUCUCAAGUCUGCUAUAGGGCUGCCAGGGCAAAAGGGUCACCUCAAGGAGGGAAGCACUCCAGCAGGGAUGUAAACUGGAACUCAUUGGUGCAUGCAGCAUGCUCCAUGGCCACAUAAAUCAGACAUCGAGACCUCUGUAUGGGAGAGCGAGCAGUGUUCAGUUUGGUUCCUACUACCCCUGGUUGCCGGAGUUGGGUAUUUGAAUGGGGGAGAGUGGUCAUACCAGAUCCAUUUGGUGCACCAGCCAGGCUAAUUAACACUCCAUGAGCUGUAGAAGCAGCCAGGAAGCACCAGAGAGCAGUGCAUAUGAAUCACUGAUCUCUUGAUCUUAGACUUCUCAAAAGUUGCGACAAUGAAGCUGGGUGUGAGUAACAUGCCCAUUGUGGCCAAUUGUUGUCCAAGGAAGCCACUGCCAUCCUGCUUAGACACCAUCUCAUUAUGAAAUCUUUACAUUUCACACACACGUGGAGUGCAUGCUAUGAAGUGCUGUCAUAAUGAAAUAAUGGAGAAUCAAAUGGAAAAAUGUGUGUUUGAGCACUGAAAGCUAGACUUGUAGACCACAGAACAGACUUCACAAGUAGAGGUCAAGGUGGCACCAAUUAGGACAAGAUUAUAUUUAAUGGAGAGUCACCUGGAUUGAAUUAAGCGUAUUUUCUUGGACAUAGCAGGCUGGAAUCAGGAUAAACAAACUGCUCUAGAAUUCCUAGGUGACCUUCCAAUAAUUAUGACCAAAUUUGAGUUUCUAGUCUUCUCAGGCCCCAAAUUAUCUUUUAUAUAAGAAUGCACAUUGCUACUCGGGAGGUCUGUUUGUUGUGAUGAACAGAGCAUAAAACAAAUCUCUCACACACAGUACUGCAGGUGGAGGCUGCAAAGCAGUUUCUCCAACCAAAAGAGCUAAUGGGCCUCCAGUGUAAAACACAUUUUUGUAACUCUUUUUCUUCGGACUUUCUUCUUUGUUGUGAGAAAUGCAAUGCCAAAAGAACUUAACUGCUCUGUUUUCCAGUGCAUAAACUGCUGAUAAGUCACUGGUGUUGUAGUUAAGCAUACAUGUCCACCAGAGUAAAAGCUCAUGCUACAAUUAAGCGCUGGGGCCACUGCUUUUAUUUUUGUCACAAAUUCUAUUGUUGUAUAUCUGAAAUAUGAAACUGUACCUCUUCAUGGGAAUACAGAAUAAACCGUGAUGCAGAUACUG